UACGGAGGGCGCGAGCGUUAAUCGGAAUUACUGGGCGUAAAGCGCGCGUAGGCUGUUGUGUAAGUUGGGGGUGAAAUCCCACGGCUCAACCGUGGAACAGCCCUUGAUACUGCGCGACUUGAAUCCGGGAGAGGGUGGCGGAAUUCCAGGUGUAGGAGUGAAAUCCGUAGACAUCUGGAGGAACAUCAGUGGCGAAGGCGGCCACCUGGACCGGUAUUGACGCUGAGGCGCGAAAGCGUGGGGAGCAAACAGG
rnacentral:rRNA from 1 species